GGAGCUGGGUUCGAGCGCUGGGGCUGCGGUUGGGAAACUACUGGAGGAUGUGGUGCACCAGAAUAAGAGAAUAAACCAAGAAACAGGAAGACGUGAUCCAGGCAACAGGAUAUUCCAGUAUAGUGUUGGAAACAGAAGCCCAGUAGUGAAAGCUACAGCUGCCAUAUACUUGCAGUGGAAUCACAGGAGCAAUCACAGGUCUUUACACUCCAGGAAAAACAGAAUCUUUUAAUCAGCAAAAUCCAUCAUAUUACUUAAGUCACAGAUGCUCACCAAGGAGAAGAGGUCAUUCUGUAAUCCAAGUCGAUCCACAGGGGGCAGAGAAAGGUCACGAAUGCCUGGUAAUAAACUUUCCAGCAUGGCAGAGCUGUACUGGGUCCGAUAAAACCCAACUGUUCCUAAGUUUAACUGCAAAGAUAUCCAGUAAGUACUAUUAAACAGCUCCAUUAAUUUUUUAAAUCAA
rnacentral:lncRNA from 10 species